GCAUUAUACCGCGAAACUGCGAAUGGCUCAUUAAAUCAGUUAUCGUUUAUUUGAUAGUACCUUACUACUUGGAUAACCGUGGUAAUUCUAGAGCUAAUACAUGCUGAAAACCCCGACUUCGGAAGGGAUGUAUUUAUUAGAUUAAAAACCAAUGCCCUUCGGGGCUCCCUGGUGAUUCAUAAUAACUUCUCGAAUCGCAUGGCCUUGCGCCGGCGAUGGUUCAUUCAAAUUUCUGCCCUAUCAACUUUCGACGGCUGGGUCUUGGCCAGCCAUGGUGACAACGGGUAACGGAGGGUUAGGGCUCGACCCCGGAGAAGGAGCCUGAGAAACGGCUACUACAUCCAAGGAAGGCAGCAGGCGCGCAAAUUACCCAAUCCCGACGCGGGGAGGUAGUGACAAUAAAUACUGAUACAGGGCCCUUUUGGGUCUUGUAAUUGGAAUGAGUACAAUUUAAUUCCCUUAACGAGGAACAAUUGGAGGGCAAGUCUGGUGCCAGCAGCCGCGGUAAUUCCAGCUCCAAUAGCGUAUAUUAAAGUUGUUGCAGUUAAAAAGCUCGUAGUUGAACCUUGGGCCUGGCUGGCCGGUCCGCCUCACCGCGUGCACUGGUCCGGCCGGGCCUUUCCCUCUGGGGAACCGCAUGCCCUUCACUGGGCGUGCCGGGGAACCAGGACUUUUACUUUGAAAAAAUUAGAGUGUUCAAAGCAGGCUUAUGCUCGAAUACAUUAGCAUGGAAUAAUAGAAUAGGACGCGCGGUUCUAUUUUGUUGGUUUCUAGGACCGCCGUAAUGAUUAAUAGGGACAGUCGGGGGCAUCAGUAUUCAAUUGUCAGAGGUGAAAUUCUUGGAUUUAUUGAAGACUAACUACUGCGAAAGCAUUUGCCAAGGAUGUUUUCAUUAAUCAGGAACGAAAGUUAGGGGAUCGAAGACGAUCAGAUACCGUCGUAGUCUUAACCAUAAACUAUGCCGACUAGGGAUCGGACGAUGUUAUUUUUUGACUCGUUCGGCACCUUACACGAAAGUACAAGUUU
rnacentral:rRNA from 1 species